GGCCUACGGGACGCAGCAGUGAGGAAUAUUGGUCAAUGGGCGCGAGCCUGAACCAGCCAAGUCGCGUGAGGGAAGACGGUCCUAUGGAUUGUAAACCUCUUUUGUCGGGGAGCAAAAAGGCCUCGUGAGGCCACAAGUGAGAGUACCCGAAGAAAAAGCAUCGGCUAACUCCGUGCCAGCAGCCGCGGUAAUACGGAGGAUGCGAGCGUUAUCCGGAUUUAUUGGGUUUAAAGGGUGCGCAGGCGGGCUGUUAAGCCGGCGGUAAAAAUUCAGGGCUCAACCCUGUCGAGCCGUCGGAACUGGCA
rnacentral:rRNA from 1 species